CAAGGGCCAGUGAUGGUUUUAAAUAUACUUUGAGUAGUUACAAUGAAAAAGCUUGUUAUCUGAGGCACUUU